AGAGUUUGAUCAUGGCUCAGGACGAACGCUGGCGGCGUGCUUAACACAUGCAAGUCGAGCGGAAAGGCCCUUCGGGGUACUCGAGCGGCGAACGGGUGAGUAACACGUGAGUAACCUGCCCUGGACUUUGGGAUAACCCUCGGAAACGGGGGCUAAUACCGAAUAUGACGACUCACCGCAUGGUGUGGUUGUGGAAAGUUUUUCGGUCUGGGAUGGGCUCGCGGCCUAUCAGCUUGUUGGUGGGGUGAUGGCCUACCAAGGCGACGACGGGUAGCCGGCCUGAGAGGGCGACCGGCCACACUGGGACUGAGACACGGCCCAGACUCCUACGGGAGGCAGCAGUGGGGAAUAUUGCACAAUGGGCGGAAGCCUGAUGCAGCGACGCCGCGUGAGGGAUGACGGCCUUCGGGUUGUAAACCUCUUUCAGCAGGGACGAAGCGAAAGUGACGGUACCUGCAGAAGAAGCGCCGGCCAACUACGUGCCAGCAGCCGCGGUAAGACGUAGGGCGCGAGCGUUGUCCGGAUUUAUUGGGCGUAAAGAGCUCGUAGGCGGCUUGUCGCGUCGACUGUGAAAACCCGCGGCUCAACCGCGGGCCUGCAGCCGAUACGGGCAGGCUAGAGUUCGGUAGGGGAGACUGGAAUUCCUGGUGUAGCGGUGAAAUGCGCAGAUAUCAGGAGGAACACCGAUGGCGAAGGCAGGUCUCUGGGCCGAUACUGACGCUGAGGAGCGAAAGCGUGGGGAGCGAACAGGAUUAGAUACCCUAGUAGUCC
rnacentral:rRNA from 1 species